AUUGAACGCUGGCGGCAUGCCUUACACAUGCAAGUCGAACGGCAGCACGGGAGCAAUCCUGGUGGCGAGUGGCGAACGGGUGAGUAAUAUAUCGGAACGUGCCCAGUCGUGGGGAUAACGUAGCGAAAGCUACGCUAAUACCGCAUACGAUCUAUGGAUGAAAGCGGGGGAUCGCAAGACCUCGCGCGAUUGGAGCGGCCGAUAUCAGAUUAGGUAGUUGGUGAGGUAAAGGCUCACCAAGCCGACGAUCUGUAGCUGGUCUGAGAGGACGACCAGCCACACUGGGACUGAGACACGGCCCAGACUCCUACGGGAGGCAGCAGUGGGAAUUUUGGACAAUGGCGCAAGCCUGAUCCAGCAAUGCCGCGUGCAGGAUGAAGGCCUCGGUU
rnacentral:rRNA from 1 species